rnacentral:lncRNA from 1 species
GCAAGUUUAUCUCUAGUCUAUGCCUUGAUAGAUUUUGUCCCUUGAUUUAAUUCCAUCUUCUUUAGAUCCCUAGAGCAAAAUUAUAAAUAACGAUACCUGGAAUACUUAUCCUGGUGAAAUGCUACAAUGAGGUGUUUUAUCUAUGCGCUUGCGGAUAGAAUAGAUUAUUUUCUAGAGAGCCCUUUACAUUUAUAAAUACCUUUGUACACUCUGGCGCCAUGCUAGGGAUGACAACCUAGUAUCUAAGUGGUGUUAGUUAGUGUCAACACACACCCC